AACAGGAUUAGAUACCCUGGUAGUCCACGCUGUAAACGAUGUCGACUUGGAGGUUGUGCCCUUGAGGCGUGGCUUCCGGAGCUAACGCGUUAAGUCGACCGCCUGGGGAGUACGGCCGCAAGGUUAAAACUCAAAUGAAUUGACGGGGGCCCGCACAAGCGGUGGAGCAUGUGGUUUAAUUCGAUGCAACGCGAAGAACCUUACCUACUCUUGACAUCCAGAGAAUUUGCUAGAGAUAGCUUAGUGCCUUCGGGAACUCUGAGGCAGGUGCUGCAUGGCUGUCGUCAGCUCGUGUUGUGAAAUGUUGGGUUAAGUCCCGCAACGAGCGCAACCCUUAUCCUUUGUUGCCAGCGAGUAAUGUCGGGAACUCAAAGGAGACUGCCGGUGAUAAACCGGAGGAAGGUGGGGAUGACGUCAAGUCAUCAUGGCCCUUACGAGUAGGGCUACACACGUGCUACAAUGGCAUAUACAAAGAGAAGCGAACUCGCGAGAGCAAGCGGACCUCAUAAAGUAUGUCGUAGUCCGGAUUGGAGUCUGCAACUCGACUCCAUGAAGUCGGAAUCGCUAGUAAUCGUAGAUCAGAAUGCUAUGGUGAAUACGUUCCCGGGCCUUGUACACACCGCCCGUCACACCAUGGGAGUGGGUUGCAAAAGAAGUAGGUAGCUUAACCUUCGGGAGGGCGCUUACCACUUUGUGAUUCAUGACUGGGGUGAAGUCGUAACAAGGUAACC
rnacentral:rRNA from 1 species